rnacentral:lncRNA from 9 species
AAGAGAGGCAGAGGCUCCCUUUCUCAGGUCUUUCAGGGUGCUGUCUGCCUUCCUCCGAAACGUUUACCCAGGAGGAUGGGCCAGGAGGAGCUCCGUCCGUGCUUCAUCCCCCUGCCCCCCCUCGACUCCCAGCCCAUGUCCGGUCAGGUGAGGCACCCAGAGUACCUCAUGAGCAGCACCACCGCCUUGCUGACAGUGCCUGUGUGUCCCCCUAGCAACCCCCGACGAUGUUGUGGAGGCCGGUGGGAGUGAGAAGACCAAGGAGGAGGCCCUGGCUGGGGAAACUGAGGAGGAGAUGGGGCUGGGGACUGUGAAGGCGGAGGAGGAGGAGGAAAAGGAGGAAGCUGCAGCCAUAGACAAGGCGGAGGAGGAGGCGGGCCCGGCCCAUGAAAAUGACAAGGAGGAGUCGCCAGCCAGCGACCGGGCUGAGCAGGAAGACAAGCCUGCCCCCAAGGUGGACGGGACGGACGAUGAAAGCUUGUGGAGCAUUGUGAGUCUGUGUGGCAGCAACCACGAAGAAAGUGAUACAGACUUGGUGGCGGAGAGCACCGACUGCCGCCAGGAUGAGGAGGCUGCAGAAUCUUGCUUUGGGAGGAAAGGAUCUUGCUGCAGGAGUCUGAGGAUAUGUUUGUCCUCUGCGAGCUUGGCUAGAAUAAUUCCCCGGUGGCCACACAACAGGGUGCACCUUGCCACUGAGCCAGACAAAGAUACUGUGGAACCUGACUCAGUACAUUCAGCAACCCCCGACGAUGUUGUGGAGGCCGGUGGGAGUGAGAAGACCAAGGAGGAGGCCCUGGCUGGGGAAACUGAGGAGGAGAUGGGGCUGGGGACUGUGAAGGCGGAGGAGGAGGAGGAAAAGGAGGAAGCUGCAGCCAUAGACAAGGCGGAGGAGGAGGCGGGCCCGGCCCAUGAAAAUGACAAGGAGGAGUCGCCAGCCAGCGACCGGGCUGAGCAGGAAGACAAGCCUGCCCCCAAGGUGGACGGGACGGACGAUGAAAGCUACUCCACUGGGACACCUUAAAGCCUCAGCCUGGGACUGGAAGAGUCCAAACGUUUCCAUCUUGACCAGGAAACAAGAUCGACCUCACUCUUCAUCUAUUACGAGCCAACUUUAGUAUAAGUUUGGUUCUUUAUUGUCUAGAUUUAGUAUUAAGUUCUGAUACAUGUUUACUACUUGGCAUUUAAGAUUUGGUAGAAUGUAAGAUUUGUGUAUUAAGUAAUCGUUAUCUAUCUAUUUGCUUUUAAACUAGUUUUUGAUAAGAUAAACACAUGUAUAGGAGAGCCCCUUAAGCAGAGGUAGAACUUAAUGUACUGGCGUCAGGCAGUCACCCUGGUGUCCACCACCAGGAUCACCCCCUGUCCUGUCACCCGCAUCAGUCCUGGCUGAAGAAGGGGACUGUGGAUUUAGUCCUGACCAUCUGCCCUCAGGCCAGUUACUUUCCAAGGAUUCUGUGGCCUCACGUCGGUUUGUACCUUUGACCAUGGGACCUCUGUCACACUCCCUCUUUCAGGAUGACGUGGAUGGCCGGGCCUUGCAUGCCCAGACCCUGGCUGCUGGAACAUCCCUAACUCACCCUCUCUCCUCGUGUCUCUAACAUGUUUCUUUACAUCCCGUGCCUCGAGACGGUAUUUUUAAACCAUAUAGAGUGACACCGAAUGGGGCACAGAUAAAACUGUAAAAGCAAUUUUAAUAAAGUACACUUUGAUUGCAAAGCAAGUGUGUUUUGUGUUAAUGGAUCCCUUGGGAGGAUAAAGAAUGGCAUACCCAAGUAUGGAAGGCAGAGAUAGGAAACAUGAGAGAAGGCAUGAACGUGCAGAUUUCUCGGCAAAGGCCAAGAGAAACAUUUCUUUGUCCACAGAAGGAAGAUGUGGUGCUGCAGAAUUGGGUGGCAAGAGUAUUUUCUCUAUUCCAAAAUCUGAGAGUGAAUCCCAAGGUUAACACUUUUCCCUUCUCCACAGUGCGUUGUCACACCUUUCCAUUGUCCUGCCUUGCAGGACUCCAGGUUCUGCAUGAUCAGGGUUGCUCCUGAAACAACGGAGAGAAAGAGAGAAAGUCCAGCUGUCUUUGCCUUGGCUUCCCAACCCCCUCGGGCUCUCCUGGACCUCCUGGCAUUCCGUGUCUAAAGAUUCUCCUUGUGGGAAGUUGAGUCCUGGUCAUUCAGAUGGGAUGUGGGACGGCCGAGCUGGGUUCACCCCUGGGAACAGACUUGCGCACUUCCCCAGGUUGUAACGCACAUCCUGGCCCCAACCCCACCUACCCCCAUGCUCCAGUGCUUCUACUGGGUGACCACAAAAAGAGGAGGCUUUUUCCUCCAGUCCACCAGCAUCAAGAACAGAAGAGACAGAGACCGAAAGGAAGAGAGAGAGGGAGAGAGAGAGACAGGGCUGGGCUUAAAAUGGGGAGAAAGGGGAAAGAAGAGUGAGAGAAAGACAGAAGAGAGACAGUUGACAUAGUGGCCUUAACAGCGGGCUCUAGUCACCCCUAGUGACCAAAGCUGCCACAACCCUGAGCUGUCUCAAGGUGUUUUUCAUCCUGGUGAAGCAUCUCCCC